rnacentral:rRNA from 2 species
UAACACAUGCAAGUCGAGCGGACAGAUGGGAGCUUGCUCCCUGAUGUUAGCGGCGGACGGGUGAGUAACACGUGGGUAACCUGCCUGUAAGACUGGGAUAACUCCGGGAAACCGGGGCUAAUACCGGAUGCUUGUUUGAACCGCAUGGUUCAAACAUAAAAGGUGGCUUCGGCUACCACUUACAGAUGGACCCGCGGCGCAUUAGCUAGUUGGUGAGGUAAUGGCUCACCAAGGCAACGAUGCGUAGCCGACCUGAGAGGGUGAUCGGCCACACUGGGACUGAGACACGGCCCAGACUCCUACGGGAGGCAGCAGUAGGGAAUCUUCCGCAAUGGACGAAAGUCUGACGGAGCAACGCCGCGUGAGUGAUGAAGGUUUUCGGAUCGUAAAGCUCUGUUGUUAGGGAAGAACAAGUACCGUUCGAAUAGGGCGGUACCUGA